rnacentral:lncRNA from 1 species
ACAUCAAGUCCAACUGCCAUUGCAGCACCGAACUGCUCCAGUAAAAAUGACAAGCUAGAACUUGAGAAGCCGUUGGCAUUGUAGGUGAUUUCUUAGUAGUUACUAGAAUAUCACAUAAGAACGUCUUGAAAAUUUUAAUUAGAUGAAAUUAACAAUGAUAAUUUAAAAAGGCCAUAAUACAAGUAAAGAUUUAGGAAAGCAGCAAUGGGUGUUAAGAAAUGGACAAAAGAAUGCACAUCAUUCUAAAUCUUAUAAUGAUCAAAUCAGUAACAAAAACUUGAGAUAUUGAUAACUUGAAAUAUUCAGGAUAAGAUUAAAGGAUGUGCAUGUUUCACAUUUAGUUAUGCAAAUCCAGUCAAAUGUGAUUGAAUUAAGGUGAAACAAAUGAUGAUAACCAAAAGUUCAUUUGGUUAUCAAUAUUACAGUUGCAUGGAAGUUUCCAGCAAUUACUUGCACAAAGAGAACAUCACCGUGUGAUACUGAGAAAGCUCAUCCGAUGAGAAUACUCUGUGCCUUUGGCGUGGAAGAGACUAAGUAGAUCUUCUACAUCACUACACAUAAAAUGAUGUCUUCGGCUUUAAAACUUCUUACUUUUAUUUCCUAGUUAAAAGGGUUCAAUAAAUUAAUGGUUGGAAGAAUUUUGUGCAGAACCCAAUUCUUUUCAAAUUUUUGGUAUCAGAUUUCUUUUGAUUUACAUAAGGAGACAGCUUCAUUAACUCAUUGGUUACGCAUAAGCUUGAUAGAAUAUAGGCUGCGCUCGAAGGAAUGAAAAUGUACUAUAGUUUUAAAUCAAAGGUUGAAUUACUAAAAAAGAUCAUUACCUUAAGUGCUGCGAUUGCAAGAAGGCCAGAACCUGUGCCAUAGUCCAAGAAAAGUUCUCCUCCUUUUAUCAAUUCUCGCAGCAGCAAUAGACACAACUUUGUAGUAGGUGCUCCCCGGUUCCAAACGCUAGUCCAGGAUU